GAUGAACGCUGGCGGCGUGCCUAAUACAUGCAAGUCGAGCGAACGGACGAGAAGCUUGCUUUUCUGAUGUUAGCGGCGGACGGGUGAGUAACACGUGGAUAACCUACCUAUAAGACUGGGAUAACUUCGGGAAACCGGAGCUAAUACCGGAUAAUAUUUUGAACCGCAUGGUUCAAAAGUGAAAGACNGNNNNACUGUCACUUAUAGAUGGAUCCGCGCUGCAUUAGCUAGUUGGUAAGGUAACGGCUUACCAAGGCAACGAUGCAUAGCCGACCUGAGAGGGUGAUCGGCCACACUGGAACUGAGACACGGUCCAGACUCCUACGGGAGGCAGCAGUAGGGAAUCUUCCGCAAUGGGCGAAAGCCUGACGGAGCAACGCCGCGUGAGUGAUGAAGGUCUUCGGAUCGUAAAACUCUGUUAUUAGGGAAGAACAUAUGUGUAAGUAACUGUGCACAUCUUGACGGUACCUAAUCAGAAAGCCACGGCUAACUACGUGCCAGCAGCCGCGGUAAUACGUAGGUGGCAAGCGUUAUCCGGAAUUAUUGGGCGUAAAGCGCGCGUAGGCGGUUUUUUAAGUCUGAUGUGAAAGCCCACGGCUCAACCGUGGAGGGUCAUUGGAAACUGGAAAACUUGAGUGCAGAAGAGGAAAGUGGAAUUCCAUGUGUAGCGGUGAAAUGCGCAGAGAUGUGGAGGAACACCAGUGGCGAAGGCGACUUUCUGGUCUGUAACUGACGCUGAUGUGCGAAAGCGUGGGGAUCAAACAGGAUUAGAUACCCUGGUAGUCCACGCCGUAAACGAUGAGUGCUAAGUGUUAGGGGGUUUCCGCCCCUUAGUGCUGCAGCUAACGCAUUAAGCACUCCGCCUGGGGAGUACGACCGCAAGGUUGAAACUCAAAGGAAUUGACGGGGGCCCGCACAAGCGGUGGAGCAUGUGGUUUAAUUCGAAGCAACGCGAAGAACCUUACCAAAUCUUGACAUCCUUUGACAACUCUAGAGAUAGAGCCUUCCCCUUCGGGGGACAAAGUGACAGGUGGUGCAUGGUUGUCGUCAGCUCGUGUCGUGAGAUGUUGGGUUAAGUCCCGCAACGAGCGCAACCCUUAAGCUUAGUUGCCAUCAUUAAGUUGGGCACUCUAAGUUGACUGCCGGUGACAAACCGGAGGAAGGUGGGGAUGACGUCAAAUCAUCAUGCCCCUUAUGAUUUGGGCUACACACGUGCUACAAUGGACAAUACAAAGGGCAGCGAAACCGCGAGGUCAAGCAAAUCCCAUAAAGUUGUUCUCAGUUCGGAUUGUAGUCUGCAACUCGACUACAUGAAGCUGGAAUCGCUAGUAAUCGUAGAUCAGCAUGCUACGGUGAAUACGUUCCCGGGUCU
rnacentral:rRNA from 1 species